rnacentral:rRNA from 1 species
UACAGGAGGGUGCGAGCGUUGUCCGGAAUCACUGGGCGUAAAGGGCGCGUAGGCGGCUUGAUAAGCGUGCGGUGAAAGCCCGGGGCUCAACCCCGGGUCGGCCGUGCGAACUGUCGAGCUGGAGCACUGUAGAGGCAGGUGGAAUUCCGGGUGUAGCGGUGGAAUGCGUAGAGAUCCGGAAGAACACCGGUGGCGAAGGCGGCCUGCUGGGCAGUGGCUGACGCUGAGGCGCGACAGCGUGGGGAGCAAACAGG